rnacentral:rRNA from 1 species
UAUGUAGGUGGCAAGCGUUGUCCGGAAUUAUUGGGCGUAAAGCGCGCGCAGGCGGUUUAAUAAGUCUGAUGUAAAAGCCCACGGCUCAACCGUGGAAGGUCAUUGGAAACUGUUAAACUUGAGUGCAGUAGAGGAAAGUGGAAUUCCUAGUGUAGCGGUGAAAUGCGUAGAGAUUAGGAGGAACACCAGUGGCGAAGGCGGCUUUCUGGCCUGCAACUGACACUGAGGCGCGAAAGCGUGGGGAGCAAACAGG